rnacentral:rRNA from 1 species
AUUGAACGCUGGCGGCAUGCCUUACACAUGCAAGUCGAACGGUAACGCGGGGCAACCUGGCGACGAGUGGCGAACGGGUGAGUAAUGCAUCGGAACGUACCCAGUUGUGGGGGAUAGCUCGGCGAAAGCCGGAUUAAUACCGCAUACGACCUACGGGUGAAAGCGGGGGAGCGCAAGACCUCGCGCAGUUGGAGCGGCCGAUGUCAGAUUAGGUUGUUGGUGGGGUAAAGGCUCACCAAGCCGACGAUCUGUAGCUGGUCUGAGAGGACGACCAGCCACACUGGGACUGAGACACGGCCCAGACUCCUACGGGAGGCAGCAGUGGGGAAUUUUGGACAAUGGACGCAAGUCUGAUCCAGCCAUUCCGCGUGCAGGAUGAAGGCCCUCGGGUUGUAAACUGCUUUUGUACAGAACGAAAAGGCUCUGGUUAAUACCUAGGGCUCAUGACGGUACUGUAAGAAUAAGCACCGGCUAACUACGUGCCAGCCGCCGCCGUAA